rnacentral:rRNA from 1 species
GGUAAAUCUCGUGCCAGCCACCGCGGUCAUACGAUUAACCCAAGUUAAUAGGCACACGGCGUAAAGCGUGUUAAAGCAUUCUAUAAAAUAAGGUUCAAUCCUAAUUAAGCUGUAAAAAGCCAUAAUUACAAUGAAAAUAGAUAACGAAAGUAACUUUAAAAUAGCUGAAACACGAUAGCUAAGACCCAAACUGGGAUUAGAUACCCCACUAUGCUUAGCCCUAAACACAAAUAAUUAAUAUAACAAAAUUAUUCGCCAGAGUACUACCGGCAAUAGCUUAAAACUCAAAGGACUUGGCGGUGCUUUAUACCCUUCUAGAGGAGCCUGUUCUAUAAUCGAUAAACCCCGAUAGACCUCACCACCCCUUGCUAAUACAGUCUAUAUACCGCCAUCUUCAGCAAACCCUAAAAAGGAAUAAAAGUAAGCACAACCAUCAUACAUAAAAACGUUAGGUCAAGGUGUAACCUAUGAGGUGGGAAGAAAUGGGCUACAUUUUCUAAUUUAAGAAAACUUAACACGAAAGUUAUUAUGAAAUUAAUAACUAAAGGAGGAUUUAGCAGUAAACUAAGAAUAGAGUGCUUAGUUGAAUUAGGCAAUGAAGCACGCACACACCGCCCGUCACCCUCCUCAAAUAAGCAAAAUACAUUUAAAUUUAUUUAUACGUAUAAACCAUAUGAGAGGAGACAAGUCGUAACAAGGUAAGCAUACUGGA